rnacentral:rRNA from 1 species
AACGAACGCUGGCGGCAGGCUUAACACAUGCAAGUCGAGCGCCUCACAAGGGGAGCGGCAGACGGGUGAGUAACGCGUGGGAACCUACCCUUUCCUACGGAACAACACGGAGAAAUCUGUGCUAAUACCGUAUACGCCCUUCGGGGGAAAGAUUUAUCGGGGAAGGAUGGGCCCGCGUAGGAUUAGCUAGUUGGUAGGGUAAUGGCCUACCAAGGCGACGAUCCUUAGCUGGUCUGAGAGGAUGAUCAGCCACACUGGGACUGAGACACGGCCCAGACUCCUACGGGAGGCAGCAGUGGGGAAUAUUGGACAAUGGGCGCAAGCCUGAUCCAGCCAUGCCGCGUGAGUGAUGAAGGCCUUAGGGUUGUAAAGCUCUUUCACCCACGACGAUAAUGACGGUAGUGGGAGAAGAAGCCCCGGCUAACUACGUGCCAGCCGCCGCGGUAAUAC